UACGGGGGGGGCAAGCGUUGUUCGGAAUUACUGGGCGUAAAGGGCUCAUAGGCGGCCAACUAAGUCGGACGUGAAAUCCCCAGGCUCAACCUGGGAACUGCGUCCGAUACUGGAUGGCUUGAAUCCGGGAGAGGGAUGCAGAAUUCCAGGUGUAGCGGUGAAAUGCGUAGAUAUCUGGAGGAAUACCGGUGGCGAAGGCGGCACCCUGGACCGGCAUUGACGCUGAGGAGCGAAAGCCAGGGGAGCAAACGGG
rnacentral:rRNA from 1 species